GACAGAGGUGCCAAGCGUUAGGCGGAAUCACUGGGCUUAAAGCGUGUGUAGGCGGGUGACUAAGUACCUUGUGAAAUCCCCCGGCUCAACCGGGGAACGGCUGGGUAUACUGGGUGCCUUGGGUCAUCUAGGGGCUGCCGGAACAAAUGGUGGAGCGGUGAAAUGCGUAGAUAUCAUUUGGAACGCCAACGGCGAAAGCAGGCAGCUGGGGAUGCACCGACGCUGAGACACGAAAGCCAGGGGAGCGAACGGG
rnacentral:rRNA from 1 species